rnacentral:tRNA from 1 species
ACCUGACUGGAGAUGGAGCGGCCUUUUAAGCCGUGCGCAAGUGGUUCGAAACCACCCGGAUCCUCCA